rnacentral:rRNA from 1 species
AUCCGUGGGUAACCUGCCCAUAAGACUGGGAUAACUCCGGGAAACCGGGGCUAAUACCGGAUAACAUUUUAACUGCAUGGUUCGAAAUUGAAAGGCGGCUUCGGCUGUCACUUAUGGAUGGACCCGCGUCGCAUUAGCUAGUUGGUGAGGUAACGGCUCACCAAGGCAACGAUGCGUAACCGACCUGAGAGGGUGAUCGGCCACACUGGGACUGAGACACGGCCCAGACUCCUACGGGAGGCAGCAGUAGGGAAUCUUCCGCAAUGGACGAAAGUCUGACGGAGCAACGCCGCGUGAGUGAUGAAGGCUUUCGGGUCGUAAAACUCUGUUGUUAGGGAAGAACAAGUGCUAGUUGAAUAAGCUGGCACCUUGACGGUACCUAACCAGAAAUACACGGCUAACUACGUGCCAGCAGCCGCGGUAAUACGUAGGUGGCAAGCGUUAUCCGGAAUUAUUGGGCGUAAAGCGCGCGCAGGUGGUUUCUUAAGUCUGAUGUGAAAGCCCACGGCUCAACCGUGGAGGGUCAUUGGAAACUGGGAGACUUGAGUGCAGAAGAGGAAAGUGGAAUUCCAUGUGUAGCGGUGAAAUGCGUAGAGAUAUGGAGGAACACCAGUGGCGAAGGCGACUUUCUGGUCUGUAACUGACACUGGAGCGCGAAAGCGUGGGGAGCAAACAGGAUAACGAUACCCUGGUAGUCCACCCGUAAACGAUGAGUGCUAAGUGUUAGAGGCUUUCCGCCCUUUAGUGCUGAAGUUAACGCAUUAAGCACUCCGCCUGGGGAGUACGGCCGCAAGGCUGAAACUCAAUAGAAUUGACGGGGGAUCUACCC